rnacentral:lncRNA from 1 species
AGAAACUUAUGAAAGAUUUAAACAAUUUCUAAAGAAAGCAGAUAAAAAAGUAAAGGGAAGGGGGUACUAGAUUUAUGAUUGAUAUGGAUCACGUCAAUGCAGUAUCAAGUAAUCACUCCUCAGAAGAGGGUCUACAUGAGAUAUUAUAGAAUCGAUUAUCAUCUCCAUAUUCUACUCUUUCCACCCCUUAAGGGUUAUUUAAAACACGUGAGUUUGUCACGAAUACUUAUUUCAUGCUAUUACCCGUCCCAUCCUAUAAAUCCUGGAGGGUAUUUAGGACUACAAUUCCUACGAGGUAAGGACUAGGCUGAACAUUUAGGUUUAAAAGAUAAAAUAGUAAGUGACAUACAUAACAAAUUGGAUCGCACAUAAGGAAACACACAAAGACAAAUAAAGGCUCACAGAUCCCUCCACAAGUGAACACGUAAUUAGCACGCCUCAAACGCAUUUAAGAGCUCAAAGAUGGGAGUAAAAAAAGGAAUAUAUCGCAGCAGUUUAGAGUUAGUAAAAAGUUGUUAAAGCACAAUUUUUGACAGUAAUGUAGAGACUUGAAGAUACAAUAGCUUAACGAGAUGUAGGGCAAGUAUUCAAGAUAGCACAAUUCUAGCUAGAGAGUGGUGACCCAGUAGUUUGAAAAACAUAAUAGAACAAGAAUAAAAAAAAAUAUAGCACAAUUUCAAGAUUGUUUCGAGAUAAGGCGAGAGUUCAAAAAUAACAGAGCGAACUUUCGGAGGCAAAACACGGAUAGGAGCAACAGAGUUCAAAAUAUUAAAAGAGGCUGAUUGGUCUUAAACCGGUAAAACCAUG